UUCUAACCUUAUGAGAACUCGAAAUGCAGAUUCGUCUUUUAAAUCCCUAACCCCUAAGAAGACACCGCCAGCAAAAGAAUCCGCCGGAGAAUCUUCCGUCGCAAACGCACGUCUCCAUCCAAAACCAGAAGCGCCAAGAAGAUGGAAGCAUCGUCCGCAACCAAUCCUAUAUCCGAUUCCAAUUCAGAUCAAUUUGAGCAGCAAAAAUCAUUAUCUAGUGCUACUACCGCUGCGAAAUCUGCAAAGAGGAAAACACUAGGUAAACUGGGGAGAACAGUGGUUGUUACUAAUCCAAAUUUGGAAGAGCAUUUGGUGGCUGAAGCUGAUGAAGCAGCAUAGAAAGUGGCUGAAGCUGGUGAAUCUAGUGAAACUUCAUGGAUGUUGCAUUGAAGGGGAUCAAUUAAUAUUGGUGUAUGAGUACAUGGAAAAUAAUAGCUUGGCCCAUGCUUUAUUCAUAGAGUUUUUACUCAUAAGUACAAUGGUCAUUAUGAGAAAUUUCUAUGAAAUCUGAGUAUGACUUCUUUUUGCACAUUCUAUAGGUUCAGAAAAUCGGAUUAAACUUGAUUGGCCAUCAAGGCUUAGGAUCUGCAUUUGCAUAGCAAAAGGUCUUGCAUUUCUUCACGAAGAAUCAAGACUCAAGGUUGUUCAUUGAGAUAUCAAAGCUACUAAUGUGUUUACACUUUUGGAGUUGUAGUCUUGGAAACUAUUAGUGGAAAGAGUAAUAACAGUGAGCAUGUCAUUGACAAAACAUGUAAAGUCAUAAGUUAUUCUGUUUACCCUGUCAAUAUUCCAAAUUCUAUUAUCUCACGCAGAAUUGCAGGAGUGAAAUGGGUAAUCAGAGCCGACAUGGACAGGAAGAUCAAAUUUUGCUGCAUCUAGUCUAAUGCUGCUAAGCCAUAUUUGAGAGCAUCCGGUUUUGAACAAGAGGAUGUCUUGCACCACCUUUUAUUUAAAGAACUUGAAUGUAUUCUCUUAGGGAUCUUCAGGUGGAUAUGACACCCUGGAAGAACUAUUGGAAGUGAUCAUUUGGGCUCAACUAGGAAUCCAUGAUAAACCAGUGGGUUUGUUGAACGUAGAUGGUUACUAUAACUCUUUGUUGUCAUUUUGGAUUGGAUUCUUCCAGGUUCAUUCCCUAUUAAAGGACCUGGUUCACAAAGCUGUUAGCGAGACUCUGGUUUGUUCCCGGGACCUCUCAUUUAAUGUUCCUGUUGUAUUUCUUGCUGUUAUAUCUGUGCUCAGUUAAUUGUAUAACUUGUGUGCUCUCAUUUUUUCGGAGCAUUUUAGUGACAAGGUUCAUUUUGCAACAUCAUUUUAAUGACUUCAGUUUUAGAAAUCGAAAAUGUUCAGAGGAGAGGUUUUUGAGGUGUUGUUUGGUUGAGUGUUCUAAUUUCUAACUAUCCCUCUGUAUUUGCUUUGAGAAUUCUAAUGUAGGUUAUCUUUUUAUAUAAUGAUAU